rnacentral:rRNA from 1 species
UAAAGAGCUCGUAGGUGGUUUGUCGCGUUGUUCGUGAAAUCUCACGGCUUAACUGUGAGCGUGCGGGCGAUACGGGCAGACUUGAGUACUGCAGGGGAGACUGGAAUUCCUGGUGUAGCGGUGGAAUGCGCAGAUAUCAGGAGGAACACCGGUGGCGAAGGCGGGUCUCUGGGCAGUAACUGACGCUGAGGAGCGAAAGCGUGGGGAGCGAACAGGAUUAGAUACCCUGGUAGUCCACGCCGUAAACGGUGGGUACUAGGUGUGGGUUUCCUUCCUUGGGAUCCGUGCCGUAGCUAACGCAUUAAGUACCCCGCCUGGGGAGUACGGCCGCAAGGCUAAAACUCAAAGAAAUUGACGGGGGCCCGCACAAGCGGCGGAGCAUGUGGAUUAGUUCGAUGCAACGCGAAGAACCUUACCUGGGUUUGACAUGCACAGGACGCCGGCAGAGAUGUCGGUUCCCUUGUGGCCUGUGUGCAGGUGGUGCAUGGCUGUCGUCAGCUCGUGUCGUGAGAUGUUGGGUUAAGUCCCGCAACGAGCGCAACCCUUGUCUCAUGUUGCCAGCGGGUAAUGCCGGGGACUCGUGAGAGACUGUCCGGGGUCAACUCGGAGGAAGGUGGGGAUGACGUCAAGUCAUCAUGCCCCUUAUGUCCAGGGCUUCACACAUGCUACAAUGGCCGGUACAAAGGGCUGCGAUGCCGCGAGGUUAAGCGAAUCCUUUUAAAGCCGGUCUCAGCUCGGAUCGGGGUCUGCAACUCGACCCCGUGAAGUCGGAGUCGCUAG